rnacentral:lncRNA from 1 species
GGACUUUUUAUAACGCUAGAGGUUGUGCAAAAUUGUCAGACUUUGUAUACAUUAUGCAUGGAAAAUCAAAUUGUGUGUUAUAAAAAGAACGUGUUACCAGAACUUUAAAAUAAAAUGUGAGAAGAUUAAUUUUUUAACAAGCUUUCAGAUAAGAAAAAAAAAAUGGGUAACCGAACUUCUUUUUUCUUGCUACAUAUCAAAAUAGGUAAAUUCAUAACACUUUCUAUUAUACAAAUUACUUUAUUUGAGUUAUCUCCCCUUAUUUGGCAAAGUUGAAAAAAAUCUAACCAGACUAAGACAAGGUGUUUUUGUGACAGUACAUUUGUACAGCUGCUGAAUUAAUAAUAAAACACACAAAUUACUAUAUUUAGAUCAAAAGUCUUAUACAUAAAUUACAUACAACUCUCAAAAUGUGCACAUUUCAUCAUAUAUCCAGACCAACGUUAUCUGCUUCUUCAAAAUCCAAGAUGGAGGAAGACACUCGAGCCACCUUAAGCGACAGCCAAUAGUUGUAUAAGGAAGAUAAACGUAUGUUUGCCAAAUUUGGGUUGUUUUCGACACUAAAUUGCGAUUCCUUGCCCGGCAUUUUGGAUUAUAGCUCUUCAACUUUUUAAUAAGCUAUUGAUUUUCAAAUAAUACUUAUGAAACUACAUGUUCGUUAUUAAGAUGCUUUAAAUGAUUUUGUUUGAUGUUUAAAAGUCACAUACAAUAACUACAGGCACUACAUUUUUUUUUCGAUAACUGUUUAAAUAUUUGAAAUAUGUUUAUUUCUUAACCUUUCAUUGUUGUUCUUACAACUGACAGUAUUUAUAUAUACAUGUAUAGAAAUGUAAUACCUAUAUGAAUAUAUCAUACCGUGUUUAAAUACAGUAAUUAAUUAGUCGAACAUGUAGGGGGUGACUGACAAUAACCGACUGCUAAAAAACUUCCCUACAACAAACAAUUUUGAUAUACUUAUAUCUUUUCAAUCCGCUAAUGUAAAAAGAAAUGCACACUAUCAUCUGAUUUGACCAUAAGCUACUUCCAACUAUCACCCAGACAUAAUAUACGUGUACUAAUGAGGUCAGUCCAAAAUGUAUGUAAAUAUGGAAACUACAUUUUAAGUUUCAACCCUGUUAACUGUAGCAAUGCUUACUGAUAAAAAAGACAUGAUACAUCUUGUUUGCAUUUUGAGGGCUUUAACAAGUUAAGC